GAUGAACGCUAGAGGCAGGCCUAACACAUGCAAGUCGAGGGGCAGCACAUAAAGUGGUUUACUACUUUUGGUGGCGACCGGCGGACGGGUGCGUAACGCGUAUGCAACCUGCCUCCAACAGGGGGAUAACGGAGAGAAAUUUCCACUAAUACCCCAUAAUAUCAGAAUCGGCAUCGGUUUUGGUUGAAAACUCCGGUGGUUGGAGAUGGGCAUGCGUUGUAUUAGAUAGUUGGUGAGGUAAUGGCUCAGCAAGUCAACGAUACAUAGGGGGACUGAGAGGUUAGCCCCCCACACUGGUACUGAGACACGGACCAGACUCCUACCGGAGGCAGCAGUGAGGAAUAUUGGUCAAUGGGGGCAACCCUGAACCAGCCAUGCCGCGUGCAGGAAGACGGCUCUAUGAGUUGUAAACUGCUUUUACAAGGGGAUAAAUCGGUGUACGUGUACACCGUUGAAGGUACCUUGGGAAUAAGGAUCGGCUAACUCCGUGCCAGCCGCCGCAGUAA
rnacentral:rRNA from 1 species